rnacentral:rRNA from 1 species
AAACAGGAUUAGAUACCCUGGUAGUCCACGCCGUAAACGAUGUCUACUUGGAGGUUGUGGCCUUGAGCCGUGGCUUUCGGAGCUAACGCGUUAAGUAGACCGCCUGGGGAGUACGGUCGCAAGAUUAAAACUCAAAUGAAUUGACGGGGGCCCGCACAAGCGGUGGAGCAUGUGGUUUAAUUCGAUGCAACGCGAAGAACCUUACCUACUCUUGACAUCCAGAGAACUUUCCAGAGAUGGAUUGGUGCCUUCGGGAACUCUGAGACAGGUGCUGCAUGGCUGUCGUCAGCUCGUGUUGUGAAAUGUUGGGUUAAGUCCCGCAACGAGCGCAACCCUUAUCCUUGUUUGCCAGCACUUCGGGUGGGAACUCCAGGGAGACUGCCGGUGAUAAACCGGAGG